AUGAAUUGAAUGGAAUAUCACACCUUCCAUUUGUGCUUGAUUCAACGAUCUAAAAAGUGACCGGAUCACGAAUGGGGUUGUGGUUCAUUGGUAAAUACAAAGCCUUUAAACACCUUGGGAUUGCCGUUCAAAAAAAAGUGACCGGAUCGGACGUGUACUUUUUCAGGAACACAAGUGAGUGGCGUUUCAAUUAUUCAAGAUAGGUUGAAGAUGAAUACAAAUAUGAAAUCGUAAAGUUACAAGACAUUCACAUUCAGUACUCAUUGUUAUCUCUCUGGAAUAUAUUCGGGUGGAAGCUCCUUAACUUAAACUUAGGUGCUACCGUAGCAGCAGCAGCAGGAGCAGCUACUUCAUUUGAAUCAGAAAUCAGAUUUUCAUCUAACGGCCUCACAGUUCCAAUAGACGGUGGUUGAGAAGAAGCAUAAUGGUAAUGAUCGCCUGCACCGGAAACUUGUGAAUUCUCUAACGGCCUCACAGCUCCAGUAGACAGUGGUUGAGCAGAAGCAGAAGCAUCGUACUCGCCGCCGAUGCCGGAGACUUGAGAAGUAUUUAACGGUCUCACAUCCCGAGUUGACAGUGGUACUUCAUCAUCAUCUGCAUAGUCAUCGAUGCCACCGGAAAUUUGAGAAAUUUCCAAGGGUCUCACAGCUGUCAAAGACGGUGGUUCGUCAUUACUUAUGCUCCCGUCAGACGGUUGUUGAUCGGGAUUCAUUUUCUUGUUGGGUUGGGUCUUGAAAUUUUAAAUAGGGGUCGUGAUUUAUUUAUAUGAAAAUGAAGCAUCAUUUUAU
rnacentral:lncRNA from 1 species